GACGAACGCUGGCGGCGUGCUUAACACAUGCAAGUCGAACGGAAAGGCCCUGCUUUUGUGGGUUGCUCGAGUGGCGCACGGGUGAGUAACACGCGUGUAACCUGCCCUUGUCUUUCUGAUAACUUCUGGAAACUGGGGCUCAUACCCGAUAGGAGCUCCUGCUGCAUGGGGGGGGUUGGAAAGUUUCGGCGGUUGUGGCUGGAAGGGCGGCUUAUCAGCUUGUUUGUGUGGUUGUGGCUUACGACGGCUUUGACGGGUAGCCGGCCUGGGAGAGUGACCAGCGACAUUGGGACUAAGAGACGGCGCAGACGCGAAUGGGAGGCAGUGGUGGGGAAUAUUACGCAGUGAGGGCAAGCCUGAUGUAGCAACGCCGGGAGCGUAAUAACGGCUUACUAGGGGUAAACCGAUGUGGCAGGAGAUAAAGCGGGAGUGACGGUAAUUAGUAAAGAAGCACCGGCUAACUACGUG
rnacentral:rRNA from 1 species